UACGGAGGGUGCGAGCGUUAAUCGGAAUUACUGGGCGUAAAGGGCGCGUAGGCGGUUGAGUAAGUCGGAUGUGAAAGCCCCGGGCUUAACCUGGGAACUGCAUUCGAUACUGCUCGGCUAGAGUAUGGUAGAGGGAAGCGGAAUUCCGGGUGUAGCGGUGAAAUGCGUAGAUAUCCGGAGGAACACCAGUGGCGAAGGCGGCUUCCUGGACCAAUACUGACGCUGAAGCGCGAAAGCGUGGGGAUCAAACAGG
rnacentral:rRNA from 1 species